UGAGUUUGGUUGGAAUGAUUGAAUAUUUUAGUUUUCAUUUUGAUCUAGAUUAUAAUGUUAGAAACCCGAUAAAAAUUUUCGCUUGGUUCAUAUUUUCGGACAAUUAUGAAUUAUGCUGGUAAAAUUACAUUUUGAAUUUUUUGAAUAAAAUAGUCUCAUACUAUAAACCACUGAUCUUCUACAAUGGAGCAAAUCUUAUGAAAUUGAAUUUUGAUCCGUGCUUUUUUGGUUUAAUUUUAAUUUUAAUUUUUAACAUUUGAUUUUUAGGUUUAAAUAAAUCUAUAGAGAAAUUAUGUGAGACAUAAUGCUAUACGGUUUUACAUA
rnacentral:lncRNA from 1 species